rnacentral:rRNA from 1 species
GUCCAGAAAAUGAAUUUUAGUUCAGCUUUAAAGAUACCAAAAACACAAAUAAAUUUUACUGUAUUUUUAAAAGUUAGUCUAAAAAGGUACAGCCUUUUAGAAAUGGGUACAACCUUCACUAGAGAGUAAGAUCUAAAAACACCAUAGUAGGCCUAAAAGCAGCCAUCAAUUAAGAAAGCGUUAAAGCUCAACAAUAAUAAUAACAUUAAUCCCAGCAAUAAUAUAGCCAACUCCUAGAUUUAAUACUGGACUAUUCUAUUAUUAAAUAGAAGCAAUAAUGUUAAUAUGAGUAACAAGAAAUAUUUUCUCCUCGCACAAGUUUAAGUCAGUAACUGAUAAUACCCUGACCGUUAACAGUAAAUAAAAACAAUCCAACAAUAAAUGAUUUAUUACUUAUACUGUUAACCCAACACAGGAGUGCACCUAGGAAAGAUUCAAAGAAGUAAAAGGAACUCGGCAAACACAAACCCCGCCUGUUUACCAAAAACAUCACCUCCAGCAUCCCUAGUAUUGGAGGCACUGCCUGCCCAGUGACUAAACGUUAAACGGCCGCGGUAUUCUGACCGUGCAAAGGUAGCAUAAUCAUUUGUUCUCUAAAUAAGGACUUGUAUGAAUGGCCACACGAGGGUUUUACUGUCUCUUACUUCCAAUCAGUGAAAUUGACCUCCCCGUGAAGAGGCGGGGAUAAAUCAACAAGACGAGAAGACCCUAUGGAGCUUUAACUAACUAAUCCAAGGAAAAUAAAUUUAAUCACCAAGAGAUAACAACACUCCUCAUGGAUUAGCAGUUUCGGUUGGGGUGACCUCGGAGAACAGAAAAUCCUCCGAGCGAUUUUAAAGACUAGACUAACAAGUCAAACCAAACCAUCGCUUAUUGAUCCAAAAACUUGAUCAACGGAACAAGUUACCCUAGGGAUAACAGCGCAAUCCUAUUCAAGAGUCCAUAUCGACAAUAGGGUUUACGACCUCGAUGUUGGAUCAGGACACCCCGAUGGUGCAACCGCUAUCAAAGGUUCGUUUGUUCAACGAUUAAAG